CCCUUAGAUGGCCUGGGCUGCACGCGGGCUAUAAUGGUAUAUUCAGCGUGAGUUGUUUACCGAAAGGUAGAUCAAAUCUUCAAAUUAUACCGUACUUGGGAUUGGACAUUGCAAUUGUUGUCCAUGAACGAGGAAUUCCUAGUAAGUGCAUGUCAUUAGCGUGCGCUGAUUACGUCCCUGCCCUUUGUACACACCGCCCGUCGCUCCUACCGAUUGGGUGCUGGGGUGAACAUUGUGGAGAUUUGAGCUUCGGCUUGGUCAAAGCAAUGUGAAUCUUGCCGCCUAGAGGAAGGAGAAGUCGUAACA
rnacentral:rRNA from 1 species